UGAACUCGCACAAAAAAAUGGAUUGAACUCGAACAAAAAAAUGAAUUAAACUCGCACUAAAAAAUCAAUUAAACUCGCACAAAAAAAUGAAUUGAAUUCGCACAAAAAAUGAAUUGAACUCGCACAAAAAAAAAUGAAUUGAACUCGCACAAAAAAAUGAAUUGAACUCGCACAAAAAAAUGAAUUGAACUCGCACAAAAAAAUGAAUUGAAUUCGCACAAAAAAAUGAAUUGAACUCG
rnacentral:lncRNA from 1 species